rnacentral:rRNA from 1 species
UUAAGUGACUAAGCGUACACGGUGGAUGCCUAGGCAGUCAGAGGCGAUGAAGGGCGUGCUAAUCUGCGAAAAGCGUCGGUAAGGUGAUAUGAACCGUUAUAACCGACGAUACCCGAAUGGGGAAACCCAGUGUGUUUCGACACACUAUCCUGUCAUGAAUACAUAGUGGCAGGAGGCGAACCGGGGGAACUGAAACAUCUAAGUACCCCGAGGAAAAGAAAUCAACCGAGAUUCCCCCAGUAGCGGCGAGCGAACGGGGAACAGCCCAGAACCUGAAUCGGCUUGUGUGUCAGUGGAAGCGUCUGGAAAGUCGCACAGUAAAGGGUGAUAGUCCCGUACACGAAGAUGCACAGGUCGUGAGUUCGAUGAGUAGGGCGGGACACGUGUUAUCCUGUCUGAAUAUGGGGGGACCAUCCUCCAAGGCUAAAUACUCCUGACUGACCGAUAGUGAACCAGUACCGUGAGGGAAAGGCGAAAAGAACCCCGGCGAGGGGAGUGAAAUAGAACCUGAAACCGUGUACGUACAAGCAGUGGGAGCAUCCUUCGGGGUGUGACUGCGUACCUUUUGUAUAAUGGGUCAGCGACUUAUAUUUUGUAGCAAGGUUAACCGAAUAGGGGAGCCGUAGGGAAACCGAGUCUUAACUGGGCGUCUAGUUGCAAGGUAUAGACCCGAAACCCGGUGAUCUAGCCAUGGGCAGGUUGAAGGUUGGGUAACACUAACUGGAGGACCGAACCGACUAAUGUUGAAAAAUUAGCGGAUGACUUGUGGCUGGGGGUGAAAGGCCAAUCAAACCGGGAGAUAGCUGGUUCUCCCCGAAAGCUAUUUAGGUAGCGCCUCGUGAACUCAUCUUCGGGGGUAGAGCACUGUUUCGGCUAGGGGGCCAUCCCGGCUUACCAAACCGAUGCAAACUCCGAAUACCGAAGAAUGUUAUCACGGGAGACACACGGCGGGUGCUAACGUCCGUCGUGAAGAGGGAAACAACCCAGACCGCCAGCUAAGGUCCCAAAGUCAUGGUUAAGUGGGAAACGAUGUGGGAAGGCACAGACAGCCAGGAUGUUGGCUUAGAAGCAGCCAUCAUUUAAAGAAAGCGUAAUAGCUCACUGGUCGAGUCGGCCUGCGCGGAAGAUGUAACGGGGCUAAACCAUGCACCGAAGCUGCGGCAGCGACGCUUAGGCGUUGUUGGGUAGGGGAGCGUUCUGUAAGCCGUUGAAGGUGGCCUGCGAGGGUUGCUGGAGGUAUCAGAAGUGCGAAUGCUGACAUAAGUAACGAUAAAGCGGGUGAAAAACCCGCUCGCCGGAAGACCAAGGGUUCCUGUCCAACGUUAAUCGGGGCAGGGUGAGUCGACCCCUAAGGCGAGGCUGAAAAGCGUAGUCGAUGGGAAACAGGUUAAUAUUCCUGUACUUGGUGUUACUGCGAAGGGGGGACGGAGAAGGCUAGGCUAGCCGAGCGACGGUUGUCUCGGUUUAAGCGUGUAGGGGGNAAAUCGUACCCCAAACCGACACAGGUGGUCAGGUAGAGAAUACCAAGGCGCUUGAGAGAACUCGGGUGAAGGAACUAGGCAAAAUGGUGCCGUAACUUCGGGAGAAGGCACGCUGGCGCGUAGGUGAAGUCCCUUGCGGAUGGAGCUGAAGCCAGUCGCAGAUACCAGCUGGCUGCAACUGUUUAAUAAAAACACAGCACUGUGCAAACACGAAAGUGGACGUAUACGGUGUGACGCCUGCCCGGUGCCGGAAGGUUAAUUGAUGGGGUUAUCCGUAAGGAGAAGCUCUUGAUCGAAGCCCCGGUAAACGGCGGCCGUAACUAUAACGGUCCUAAGGUAGCGAAAUUCCUUGUCGGGUAAGUUCCGACCUGCACGAAUGGCGUAAUGAUGGCCAGGCUGUCUCCACCCGAGACUCAGUGAAAUUGAACUCGCUGUGAAGAUGCAGUGUACCCGCGGCAAGACGGAAAGACCCCGUGAACCUUUACUAUAGCUUGACACUGAACAUUGAGCCUUGAUGUGUAGGAUAGGUGGGAGGCUUUGAAGUGUGGACGCCAGUCUGCAUGGAGCCAUCCUUGAAAUACCACCCUUUAAUGUUUGAUGUUCUAACUCUGCCCCAUAAUCUGGGGUGAGGACAGUGUCUGGUGGGUAGUUUGACUGGGGCGGUCUCCUCCCAAAGAGUAACGGAGGAGCACGAAGGUUAGCUAAUCACGGUCGGACAUCGUGAGGUUAGUGCAAAGGCAUAAGCUAGCUUGACUGCGAGAGUGACGGCUCGAGCAGGUGCGAAAGCAGGUCUUAGUGAUCCGGUGGUUCUGAAUGGAAGGGCCAUCGCUCAACGGAUAAAAGGUACUCCGGGGAUAACAGGCUGAUACCGCCCAAGAGUUCAUAUCGACGGCGGUGUUUGGCACCUCGAUGUCGGCUCAUCACAUCCUGGGGCUGAAGUAGGUCCCAAGGGUAUGGCUGUUCGCCAUUUAAAGUGGUACGCGAGCUGGGUUUAGAACGUCGUGAGACAGUUCGGUCCCUAUCUGCCGUGGGCGUUGGAAGAUUGAGAGGGGUUGCUCCUAGUACGAGAGGACCGGAGUGAACGCACCACUGGUGUUCGGGUUGUCAUGCCAAUGGCACUGCCCGGUAGCUAAGUGCGGAAAAGAUAAGCGCUGAAAGCAUCUAAGCGCGAAACUUGCCUCAAGAUGAGUCUUCCCUGGGACUUCGAGUCCCCUGAAGGAACGUUUAAGACUAAGACGUUGAUAGGCUGGGUGUGUAAGUGCAGCGAUGCAUUGAGCUAACCAGUACUAAUGAACCGUGAGGCUUAACCUU